GAUGAACGCUGGCGGCGUGCCUAAUACAUGCAAGUCGAGCGAACAGACGAGGAGCUUGCUUCUCUGACGUUAGCGGCGGACGGGUGAGUAACACGUGGAUAACCUACCUAUAAGACUGGGAUAACUUCGGGAAACCGGAGCUAAUACCGGAUAAUAUAUUGAACCGCAUGGUUCAAUAGUGAAAGACGGUCUUGCUGUCACUUAUAGAUGGAUCCGCGCUGCAUUAGCUAGUUGGUAAGGUAACGGCUUACCAAGGCAACGAUGCGUAGCCGACCUGAGAGGGUGAUCGGCCACACUGGAACUGAGACACGGUCCAGACUCCUACGGGAGGCAGCAGUAGGGAAUCAUCCGCAAAGGGCGAAAGCCUGACGGAGCAACGCCGCGUGAGUGAUGAAGGUCUUCGGAUCGUAAAACUCUGUUAUUAGGGAAGAACAUAUGUGUAAGUAACUAUGCACGUCUUGACGGUACCUAAUCAGAAAGCCACGGCUAACUACGUG
rnacentral:rRNA from 1 species